rnacentral:lncRNA from 1 species
GUUUGAACGGUUAUGACCUAGACCUUAAAUAGCCGCGGUCGGCAUAUGAAAAACAAAACUUUUAUAAACAAUUUCUUAUCUUUUCUCUUACUUAUGUGUAUAAUUUCCAACAACUAUAAUGUUAAAGAUCUCCCAAAUAAUUGUUCUUUAAUAUUUGCCUUGUUCUUCAUUUUAUCUAAAGAUUUUUCACUUAUGUAAAUUAUAAAGCGUGGUGAUGAGGUACGGAAGGGGCAGUAUUUAUUUUUAGAACUUGUUCACUUUUAUCACGCAUGUCAUGUAAAAGGCUAUAUUCCUUUUGAUAAAUGAUUACAUUGAGUACUGUUCAUUUAAAAUAACCCGAGUAUUUAAAAAAUAAUUUAAAGCAUGAAAUACUUUUUAUUUACUGUCUGUCCAUUGAUACAUUUUCGAUAGCGUAAUAUUUCGAUUUUGUAUUUUAUUUUCUUUUUCUUUAUAAUUCACUUCAAAUUACUUGUCAAUAUCUAGAAGAAGAUAUUAAUUCCAAUAAUGGGCCUCAAAGGGCAUAAAUAUGAUCAAAUAUAGUCGUUACAUGCCUGCUAGCAAGCUUUAAAUAUGGCUUCA